rnacentral:rRNA from 1 species
GUGUCAGCCGCCGCGGUAAGACGUAGGAGGCGAGCGUUGUCCGGAUUCAUUGGGCGUAAAGAGCACGCAGGCGGUUUGGUAAGUCGGAUGUGAAAACCCGGAGCUCAACUCCGGGCCUGCAUCCGAAACUGCCCGACUAGAGGUAGGUAGGGGAGAUCGGAAUUCCUGGUGUAGCGGUGAAAUGCGCAGAUAUCAGGAGGAACACCGGUGGCGAAGGCGGAUCUCUGGGCCUUACCUGACGCUCAGGUGCGAAAGCUAGGGGAGCGAACAGGAUUAGAAACCCCUGUAGUCC